GAUGAACGCUGGCGGCGUGCCUAAUACAUGCAAGUCGAGCGAACAGAUGAGGAGCUUGCUCCUCUGACGUUAGCGGCGGACGGGUGAGUAACACGUGGAUAACCUACCUAUAAGACUGGGAUAACUUCGGGAAACCGGAGCUAAUACCGGAUAAUAUAUUGAACCGCAUGGUUCAAUAGUGAAAGACGGUUUUGCUGUCACUUAUAGAUGGAUCCGCGCCGCAUUAGCUAGUUGGUAAGGUAACGGCUUACCAAGGCAACGAUGCGUAGCCGACCUGAGAGGGUGAUCGGCCACAUUGGAACUGAGACGCGGUCCAGACUCCUACGGGAGGCAGCAGUAGGGAAUCUUCCGCAAUGGGCGAAAGCCCGACGGAGCAACGCCGCGUGAGUGAUGAAGGUCUUCGGAUCGUAAAACUCUGUUAUUAGGGAAGAACAAAUGUGUAAGUAACUAUGCACGUCUUGACGGUACCUAAUCAGAAAGCCACGGCUAACUACGUG
rnacentral:rRNA from 1 species